rnacentral:rRNA from 1 species
CGUGGGUAACCUGCCCAAGAGAUCGGGAUAACACCUGGAAACAGAUGCUAAUACCGGAUAACAACGGAUGAUGCCUAUCAACUGUUUAAAAGAUGGUUCUGCUAUCACUCUUGGAUGGACCUGCGGUGCAUUAGCUAGUUGGUAGGGUAACGGCCUACCAAGGCGAUGAUGCAUAGCCGAGUUGAGAGACUGAUCGGCCACAUUGGGACUGAGACACGGCCCAAACUCCUACGGGAGGCAGCAGAU